UUGAUCUCAAAUCAGGUAGGACUACCCGCUGAACUUAAGUCAUAUCAAUAAGCGGAGGAAAAGAAACUAACAAGGAUUCCCCUAGUAACUGCGAGUGAAGCGGGAAGA
rnacentral:rRNA from 1 species